GACGAACGCUGGCGGCGUGCUUAACACAUGCAAGUCGAACGGAAAGGCCCUGCUUGCAGGGUACUCGAGUGGCGAACGGGUGAGUAACACGUGGGUGAUCUGCCCUGCACUUCGGGAUAAGCCUGGGAAACUGGGUCUAAUACCGGAUAGGAGCCAUUUUUAGUGUGAUGGUUGGAAAGUUUUUUCGGUGUAGGAUGAGCUCGCGGCCUAUCAGCUUGUUGGUGGGGUAAUGGCCUACCAAGGCGGCGACGGGUAGCCGGCCUGAGAGGGUGGACGGCCAGAUUGGGACUGAGAUACGGCCCAGACUCCUACGGGAGGCAGCAGUGGGGAAUAUUGCACAAUGGGCGCAAGCCUGAUGCAGCGACGCCGCGUGGGGGAUGACGGCCUUCGGGUUGUAAACUCCUUUCGCUAGGGACGAAGCUUCUUGUGACGGUACCUAGAUAAGAAGCACCGGCUAACUAAGUG
rnacentral:rRNA from 1 species